ACUUCCUGGCCGUCCGAUUUUGUGCUUGUGGCGAUCUGUUCCGCGAUCUGUGUUAACUGGCCCGGUUGUCCUGUGGGCUGCUGCUCCACGGGCCAAAAUGGGUGCCUGUGGUGCAUUGGGCCUUGGGCGAGCCGGCAGCCCAUUCCAAAGGUACACCCAGAUCCAAUCCCGAUCUAGGAGCAGCGCAGCGACCGCAAACUCCAAACCAUACACUCCCGAUUCAGUCGAUUCCAAGAAAAGGUCCGGAUUCGAGGCGCGGAGAGAAGACAAUCCAUCCAGUCUGUCCCGAUUCGAGGCGCUGCGGACCGGCCGCGUCGAAUCCAUCCAGUCCAGAUUUGAGGCGCAAAGAGGAGUCAAUUCAUCCAAUCCAUGAAUCGCCGUCCGACUGUUCGUCUCAUGAAACUGCUUCCCGGGGGUUUCAAAGAAUUAAUCACUCUUCAGUUUCUCUCCAAGGCUCUUUGUGCACCCCUCGCGGUCAUUAAUGGAUGCCUGGCUCUUUGUUUCUCAUUUUUCCGUUGUGUAUAUAUGCUUCCUCUACGCUCACUCUUGUAACUCCGGCGACAGAACAUCCAUCAGCAUGUUGCUCUUGUAUUGUUCAUGCUGGGAGGUGGUCAACUGAUUCGGCCAGAUAUUGGAAACUGGUUCUUGCAUGUUUCUUUAAUUUCUGCAAUUCUUCUGGACAGAAAUGAGCAAAGCCCAAUAAUCUUGCAGAUAUUUGAAAGUAUGCGUGUGGAUUUUCAAGACAUGGUGCAGGCUUUGCAUCAUUCCAAGCAUAAGGCAAGAUACACUUGGUUCAAUCUGCAGGCAGUGAGGUCAGCAAAUCAUUAGAUGAGGGGAGGGGCUAUUUUAGUUACGACUGGAGGGACAACGAGCAGGAAGAGUAGGGCAACUGGAGUGCUAGAUACAGGG